AACCAUUCUCACCUGCGGCUAGACCUGCGGAAGGAUCAUUAAAGAUUGACCGAAAGGUCUUAUCUCUAUAUCCCUCACCUCUGUGAACUGUGGACCUCCGGGUCUAUUUAACAAACAUCAGUGUAAUGAACGUAUAUAUCAUUAAACAAAACAAAACUUUUAGCAACGGAUCU
rnacentral:misc_RNA from 1 species